GACGUAGGGCGCGAGCGUUGUCCGGAUUUAUUGGGCGUAAAGAGCUCGUAGGCGGCUCGUUGCGUCGGCUGUGAAAACCCGCAGCUCAACUGUGGGCUUGCAGCUGAUACGGGCGGGCUGGGAUUCGGUAGGGGAGACUGGAAUUCCUGGUGUAGCGGUGAAAUGCGCAGAUAUCAGGAGGAACACCGGUGGCGAAGGCGGGUCCCUGGGCCGUAACUGACGCUGAGGAGCGAAAGCAUGGGGAGCGAACAGG
rnacentral:rRNA from 1 species